GGGUCUGUAUUGGUAUCGAGGAUUCAAAUAAUAUGCUGGUCAAAGAAACAUAUACUAUAAUAAGAAAAAUAAUACUUAUUCAACUAAAGAAAUGAAUUGCAAAUUAUGACAUAAUUUAUACCUGCUGCAUGCAAAUCGUGAUAUAAUGUUUUAUACCAUCGGUCAUCAAUUAUCUUUAUGACCCACCUUGCACCAUGUUUUUUUUCUAAUUCCUCCUUCACUACACGCAUUAACUCAUAUAUUGCCCCCAUAGUAGG
rnacentral:lncRNA from 1 species